ACAGCAUUUGAAAGAAUCCAUAAUAUUAGGCUAUGAUAAAGCUAUUAUUUCUGCUAAAAAUAGCUGAUAACGACCUUAGUUCCUGGUCAAUAGUGCGAAAAAAGAACAUUACUAUUAUUGACUUAGUCUAAGAGUACGUAGUUUGACAAGUCAACGGCUUCCUCUUGAAAGCAACGAUGGCAUAUAUUUUGUAUCAUUAGGAGGUGCUCGGUGGGCGAGCUUUACUACCCGUUUCUUUUUUCUUGGCCGUUUAGGCCCUAACAGUUUUGCUUAUUGUUUUUGGUAAAUCUGACUCCCGUGUUAGUCUGUACUGACCGAAACCAGAAAGCUCACCCAGCCUCCAUGCAGAACUUUGCUCCUCUUAGUGAACCCAAUGCUAAAUCUUAAGACAGCCGAGUAAAUUUUACUGCUUAUGCAAUGACACUUGCAUAAACAAUUGACAACUGCAAGAUUCCCAUUAUGUUCACUCUUGUGUGAUGAACGUUGCGGUGUAAUAAAUCAUGAAAACCCCCAAGUGGAGUGGCCUGUCAUGUUCAAUGUAUUUGUUAUUCACUUAGCACAUCGGAGAGUGACUCAGACGACAGUGGCAAAGGGAUUUUUUCCAUGCAAGUCCAAUGACUACUGUCAAAGAAGAAGAAAUCCUGACAGCAAAUUCAGGUGAAAGUUCAGCCGGGGAGGACGACUUUAAUCCCUUUGGAAACUCGGGAUCAGAGGAUGAAGAUCCUUGGCUCCAGAGGAAAAGCUAGAAAGGUUCCAGCGGUAAAUCCCUGACAGGAAGUCCAGACAUACCUGCAGCGGAUCCAACUUUCAAAGCGCUUUCUGCUGCUGGACGUAAAGUGAGCAACAUGUCAUGGAGCAAACCAAAUUAACAAGAGACAGCAAAACAAAUCAAUAGAAUCAGUUACUCGCGGAAUUCACCUUUGGGUAAUGAUAGUCUUUCUAACACACCUCGUAGCCAGAAGUCCAAGGAUCGAUUUUCAGUGAUCAUCACAGUUUUGUUAUUACAGAUAAGCCGUGCAAAAGCUGAUACCAUCAUCAUCAAUACAUGGACCAAUGAAAAAUUCAUUUCCAAGUUCCCCAUAGUCCCUCGUUCAAAGCGAGUCUAAGUACGAAAUUUUCGUUACGGUAAUUAGUUCUAAUUUCGAAAAUAGUGAAAACUGAUAUUCAUAACAUGGUUUACACGGGCCAGGAUACUUCUGGAAAAACUGCUCGGUCCUUGAAAACUCGUUAAAAUUUACUUUUUCCUUGAAAACUCCUUGAAAUUGUUAAUAUAGUCCUGGAAUUUUACUUGAAAAGCCCUUGAAUACUGAAACUACAGCUCAAUAAGUCAUUUUGAAAGGGAAGGAUUGAAGACAUUGUGUUAAGACCUCACACUUAAGAAAAACGCAUUAAAAAAAAGGCAAUGCCUUAGACUAUGAAGGCAAUUCAGUGUUUUCUAUUCGAAUUGUCUAAGUAACCGCUCAAUGGGGUUCCCGAAAUGUAUUGUGUAGCCCCCCACUGUUUAGAUAGAACCAUGAAUCUGUUGCUCGAGGCGUGAAAUUUAUUGGACGAUGAAUUCAAAAGGCCAGAGAGCAACUGCAGUUGUAAUCGACAGUGCCAACUCAAUGCAGGGUGCAAAGGCUGGCUGACUGCGUUUAAAUGUGAUAGGGAAAAGGCUUUAUGCAGCAAUAUCCAAAAAUAUGUGCGACCCCUGUUAGCAUCAUUCGGUUUUGUUUCAUGUGCAAAAUACGAAAUAAUACGGGGACACAGUUAAGUGAGUGCCAGGCGAAGCAGACUCCUUGAAUGUUGUUUAAAAGGCCUGGAAAACUCCUUGAAUAAAAAGUUAGCAAACAUGUAUGAACCACGUAACAAAGACUUCGAGCCUUGACUCGCCGCGAAAUUGAGGCUGAGGUGAACUCGUAAAUGGCCUAUUUGGAUUUUUGCAAUGUCCCCUUUAUGUUGAUUGACGCUCAGCUUAUUCUAAAGCUUUUACUACUUUCAUCAUAUUAUCUCUGAUUGACAAUUUUUUGAAAUAGACUUUCAACUUGUUGUUCAACAGAAUACAUGUACGAAAUGUACCACAAUUUGAAAUAAUUCCUGUUUUUAAAGGGAAAGACCCCUUGGCGGAGCCUGUAGAGCCAUUACUGAAAGAUUUUAAUAGAAAAUGGUUUCAAGGACUAUAUCGUGGAUAAGGGCAAGAACUUUCUUUUGCUUUAUGAGAUCUGCGCUGAUCUGCUUAAGAGGGUCAAGAACAAUCAGAAGACGCAAAAUGGACCUAACUAAUGCAGACAUUGAUAUACAAAAUUCAGAGGCAGCCAUUUUAUAAACAUUUUUAUCGAGUA